ACAAUGCAAGUCGAACGGUUAGAGGGGGCAACCCCCUUGAGAGUGGCGAACGGGUGAGUAAUAUAUCGGAACGUGCCCGGUCGUGGGGGAUAACGUAGCGAAAGUUACGCUAAUACCGCAUACGAUCUAAGGAUGAAAGCGGGGGAUCGCAAGACCUCGCGCGAUUGGAGCGGCCGAUAUCAGAUUAGGUAGUUGGUGGGGUAAAGGCUCACCAAGCCAACGAUCUGUAGCUGGUCUGAGAGGACGACCAGCCACACUGGAACUGAGACACGGUCCAGACUCCUACGGGAGGCAGCAGUGGGGAAUUUUGGACAGUGGACGCAAGUCUGAUCCAGCCAUUCCGCGUGCAGGAUGAAGGCCCUCGGGUUGUAAACUGCUUUUGUACGGAACGAAAAGGUUUCUCUUAAUACGAGGAGCUCAAGACGGUACCGUAAGAAUAAGCACCGGCUAACUACGUGCCAGCAGCCGCGGUAAUACGUAGGGUGCAAGCGUUAAUCGGAAUUACUGGGCGUAAAGCGUGCGCAGGCGGUUAUGUAAGACAGAUGUGAAAUCCCCGGGCUCAACCUGGGAACUGCAUUUGUGACUGCAUAGCUAGAGUACGGUAGAGGGGGAUGGAAUUCCGCGUGUAGCAGUGAAAUGCGUAGAUAUGCGGAGGAACACCGAUGGCGAAGGCAAUCCCCUGGACCUGUACUGACGCUCAUGCANUAAAAGGUGGGUCA
rnacentral:rRNA from 1 species